rnacentral:rRNA from 1 species
GAUGAACGCUGGCGGCGGGCCUAAUACAUGCAAGUCGAGCGAACGGACGAUAAGCGUUCGUCUCUGAGGGUAGCGGCGGACGGGUGAGUAACACGUGGAUAACCUACCUAUAAUACGGGGAGGACUUCGUGGAACCGGAGCUAAUACCGGAUGAUAUUUUGAACCGCAUGGUUCAAAAGUGAAAGACGGUCUUGCUGUCACUUAUAGAUGGAGCCGCGCUGCAUUAGCGAGUUGGUAAGGUAACGGCUUACCAAGGCAACGAUGCAUAGCCGACCUGAGAGGGUGAUCGGCCACACUGGAACUGAGACACGGUCCAGACUCCUACGGGAGGCAGCAGUAGGGAAUAUUCCGCAAUGGGCGCAAGCCUGACGGAGCAACGCCGCGUGAGUGAUGAAGGUCUUCGGAUCGUAAAACUCUGUUAUUAGGGAAGAACAUAUGUGUAAGUAAAUGUGCACAUCUUGACGGUACCUAAUCAGAAAGCCCCGGCUAACUACGUG